rnacentral:pre_miRNA from 1 species
UCUUCAUUUCACAUAUUUUCUCAUCGGUCAGAGAGGCGAGAGAGCGUAGGAAAUGAAGAGA